rnacentral:lncRNA from 1 species
GUGCUGCUAUAAUCUAAAGGUAAACAACAACACUUAUUGUGUGUAAAAAGUUUGUAUGUAAUCAACCAAAUACACAACAUGAGUAUUCCAUUUAUUGCACAAUGCCACGUAAAAUAUAGUGUGACCAUCCAUGCAUUGUCUUUUGUAUCUGUUGACAAUUCUUUGUCUUCCAAAAUGAUCGAUGUGUGUAAAGUCCAUGUUCCAAGUACC